rnacentral:rRNA from 1 species
UACGAAGGGGGGCUAGCGUUGCUCGGAAUCACUGGGCGUAAAGCGCACGUAGGCGGAUUGCUAAGUCAGGGGUGAAAUCCUGGAGCUCAACUCCAGAACUGCCUUUGAUACUGGCGAUCUUGAGUCCGGGAGAGGUGAGUGGAACUGCGAGUGUAGAGGUGAAAUUCGUAGAUAUUCGCAAGAACACCAGUGGCGAAGGCGGCUCACUGGCCCGGUACUGACGCUGAGGUGCGAAAGCGUGGGGAGCA